GACGAACGCUGGCGGCGUGCUUAACACAUGCAAGUCGAACGAAGUGGCGAACGGGUGAGUAACGCGUAAUCAACCUGCCCUUCAGAGGGGGACAACAGUUGGAAAAGACUGCUAAUACCGCAUACUGAAGGAGGGGAUUGCGUGGGAUUAGCUAGUUGGAGGGGUAACGGCCCCCCAAGGCGAUGAUAAGUAGCCGGGCUGAGAGGAUGAACGGCCACAAUGGGACUGAGACACGACCCAGACUCCUACGGUAGGCAGCAGUGGGGAAUCUUCCGCAAUGGACGAAAGUCUGACGGAGCAACGCAGCGUGAGUGAUGACGGCCUUCGGGUUGUAAAGCUCUGUUAAUCGGGACGCGGUACCGGAAUAGAAAGCCACGGCUAACUCCGUGCCAGCAGCCGCGGUAAUUC
rnacentral:rRNA from 1 species